GGCCAGAUUUCGCCGUUCUAACGAGAUACCACGCUUCAAAGAACUUCCUGCGAGCCCUGUUUAGUGACUUCCUGUCAGGUGUCUCAUUUCUUGGGCCAGAACAGAACGGCCUCAGCCCCGGACGCUGGGCCCUGUCCCUGUGGCUGAGCACUGGCUGCCAGUGAGUCUUGUUACAGGAAGCGGGUGGGCGCCGCCCGGGGAGCAGCAGCCUAACAGGGCUCAGGUUGAGGCUGCCUGCGUGCGUUGGUUUGGAAGCGUUUCUUUAAGAAUCAGCCCUAUUAAUAGGCACAGCUCAUUUUUCAUAGAGAGCGGGAUUUCCACUGUCUACCCUCAUUGAGAUUCUUUCUCCUCGAAGCUGAAAUAACUGUAAUAACUGUGGCCCUUGUCAUUUGCCCCAGAUGCGGGCUCUGCUCCAGUUUCCCCACUCCAAUCUGUGAACUGAGUGGCCGUGACAGAGUAAGAAAUAGAUUUUCGGAUGAGGUACGGUGAGUGCACCUGGGAUCUCAGCUGCUGCUCAGGAGGCUGAGGCAGGAGGAUCACAAGUUUGAGAGAGAGAGAGAGAGAGGAAUAUGUAGCUUUGGCGGCACAGAAGGGGAGCUGUGGACCCUCAGAUUCCUGGUGGGUCACAGGUCCGGGUGCACCGGAUGGGAAGCAGGGACCCGGCUCUAACCAGAGUUGUGCUGCGCUCCAGACACCCCCGGGGGAUGUUUGUUUCCCUGGCACUGGGCAUGGAACCCCGGCUGCUGAGCUACACCCCAGCCCUUGUUGUGAUUUUUAUUUCGAGGCAGUGUCAUGCGCAAGCUAUGCCAGUGACAUGGAACAGCCAGCCACCUUCGUGUCCUUCCACAAAAUCAGAAUUUAUGGGGUCAACAGUGCGUUUACAGUCACAUCCCUCACCCGAUCACUGUGUGGCUCUUCUCUGCGCAUAUCUGAACCUCACAUUUCUCCGGCCGCACAUAAGUGACUCCUUGCUGCCGCCGUGCUCAGAAAACAAAAGAGGAGCAAAUUCCCUAUUGAAGGGCGGGGGUCCACAGGCCGUGGUAAACGAAAACCUGAAAGCGCCUGUUCAUCUCGGUCACCUGUCAGGAGUUCCAUGA
rnacentral:lncRNA from 1 species